UACGUAGGGGGCAAGCGUUGUCCGGAAUCAUUGGGCGUAAAGAGCGUGUAGGCGGCUCGAUAAGUCUGCUGUGAAAGUCCAGGGCUCAACCCUGGAAGGCCGGUGGAAACUGUCGGGCUAGAGUGCGGAAGAGGCGAGUGGAAUUCCUGGUGUAGCGGUGAAAUGCGCAGAUAUCAGGAGGAACACCAAUUGCGAAGGCAGCUCGCUGGGACGUAACUGACGCUGAGACGCGAAAGCGUGGGGAGCAAACAGG
rnacentral:rRNA from 1 species